AAAAAGACAAACCCUAGAUUUUCGUGUCCAAUGUUUGACUAUUCGUUUUAUGUUAAUUUUUUUUAUAAUUAGUAUUUUCAUUAUUGUUAGAUGAUAAAACAUGAUUAAUACUUUAUGCGUAACUAAUCUUUUUAAUUUUUUUAAAUAAGACGAAUGGUCAAACAUGACACGGAAACCCAGGGUUUAUCUUUUU
rfam:Oryza barthii chromosome 8, whole genome shotgun sequence.